rnacentral:rRNA from 1 species
CUCUUCUUGAUAAUUUAAGAAGUAUAACCUGCCCAAUGAAGUUUUAAUGGCCGCGGUAUAUUGACCGUGCAAAGGUAGCAUAAUCAUUAGUCUUUUAAUUGAAGGCUGGAAUGAAUGGUUGGACGAGAUAAACACUAUCUUGAAUUUAUUUAUUUAGAAAUUAAUUAUUAAGUUAAAAAGCUUAAGUGUUAUUUUGGGACGAGAAGACCCUAUAGAGUUUAAAUAUAAAUUGUGUUUGUAUUGUAGGUUAAUAUUUUUAUUAUUAUUUGUAUUUUAUUGGGGUGAUAGGAAGAUAAAUUUAACUCUUUUUAUAUUAUUAUACUGAUUAGUAAUUUUUUUGAUCCAUUUAUAAUGAUUAAAAGGCUAAAUUACC